rnacentral:rRNA from 1 species
AGCAGCCGCGGUAAUUCCAGCUCCAAUAGCGUAUAUUAAAGUUGUUGCAGUUAAAAAGCUCGUAGUUGAAUUUCGGGAUCAAAUUGUCGGUCGUGCCUCGGUACGCACUGGUAUUAUUGGUUUCUACCUUCUGAAGAACCGCGAUGUCAUUAAUUUGGUGUCGUGGGGAAUCAGGACUGUUACUUUGAAAAAAUUAGAGUGUUUAAAGCAGGCUUACGCUUGAAUACAUUAGCAUGGAAUAAUGAAAUAGGACGUUUGAUUCUAUUUUGUUGGUUUCUAGGAUUGACGUAAUGAUUAAUAGGGAUAGUUGGGGGCAUUAGUAUUCAAUUGUCAGAGGUGAAAUUCUUGGAUUUAUUGAAGACUAACUACUGCGAAAGCAUUUGCCAAGGAUGUUUUCAUUAAUCAAGAACGAAAGUUAGGGGAUCGAAGACGAUCAGAUACCGUCGUAGUCUUAACCAUAAACUAUGCCGACUAGGGAUCGGAUGAUGUUAAUUUUUUAAUGACUCA